GACGAACGCUGGCGGCGUGCUUAACACAUGCAAGUCGAACGGAAAGGCCCUGCUUUUGUGGGGUGCUCGAGUGGCGAACGGGUGAGUAACACGUGAGUAACCUGCCCUUGACUUUGGGAUAACUUCAGGAAACGGGGGCUAAUACCGGAUAGGAGCUCCUGCUGCAUGGUGGGGGUUGGAAAGUUUCGGCGGUUGGGGAUGGACUCGCGGCUUAUCAGCUUGUUGGUGGGGUAGUGGCUUACCAAGGCUUUGACGGGUAGCCGGCCUGAGAGGGUGACCGGCCACAUUGGGACUGAGAUCCGGCCCAGACUCCUACGGGAGGCAGCAGUGGGGAAUAUUGCACAAUGGGCGGAAGCCUGAUGCAGCAACGCCGCGUGCGGGAUGACGGCCUUCGGGUUGUAAACCGCUUUCGCCUGUGACGAAGCGUGAGUGACGGUAAUGGGUAAAGAAGCACCGGCUAACUACGUG
rnacentral:rRNA from 1 species